rnacentral:tRNA from 1 species
ACCUGGCUGGCUCAGUCGGUGGAGUGUGUGACUCUUGAUCUCAGAGUUGUGAGUUCAAGCCUCAUGCUAGGUG